GAAUCAACUAGCCCUGAAAAUGGAUGGCGCUUGAGCGAAGGACCUAUACUCGACCGUUGCAUUGCUUGUGUUGUGCGCAGUCUCAGCCUUGCAGCAACGAGUAAGAGGGUCGUAGUGGUUGCGUCGAAGGCUUCGGGCGUAGGCCCGGCUGGAGCAGCCACUAGUGCAGAUCUUGGUGGUAGUAGCAAAUAUUCAAGUGAGAUCCUUGAAGACUGAAGUGGAGAAGGGUUCCACGUGAACAGCAGUUGAUCGUGGGUUAGUCGGUCCUAAGAUAGCGGCUAAUGCCCUAUGUCGAUUGAGAGAUUGAGUCGUUCACGCGGCGCUUUCUUGACUAUCGAAAGGGAAACAGGUUAAUAUUCCUGUACCGAGACACAGAGAUUUUGCUCGAGCGGGCAACCGUUCUUGCAUUGUAGCGCGGCAACGCAAACAAACUCGACUACGUUGCGCACGACCCGAGCUAGAGUUAUCUCCUCUAGUUAAGGAACGUACUCCCAUGGAAUCGGUUCGGCCGGAGAUAUGGGAGUUGGUUUCCGUAAAGCAGCACACGUGUUGUGUUGUCUCGAGCGUUGUGCGUGACCCUUGAAAAGUUGAGUGCGGCUACGAAUUUUGUGCUCGUCCGUACCCAUAUCCGCAGCAGGUCUCCAAGGUGAGCAGCCUCUAGUCGAUAGAAUAAUGUAGGUAAGGGAAGUCGGCAAAUUAGAUCCGUAACUUUGGGAAAAGGAUUGGCUCUACGGAACGGGUUAGUGCGGGUGGUGGUGAGAAGUUGGCGUUGUACUUGUGUUGACUUGGUCGCAAGACUUGGUCGACGCUCGUGCAUGCCAAUGGAUUGCUGUCACUUUAACGCCUAACACUCAACGUUCGUUGUAGAACUGACACGGACCCGGGGAAUCCGACUGUCUAAUUAAAACAGAGGAGAUAGAUGGUGUUCACACACGAUUACUAUCUCUGAUUUCUGCCCAGUGCUCUGAAUGUUAACGUGAAGAGAUUCAACUAAGCGCGGGUAAACGGCGGGAGUAACUAUGACUCUCUUAAGGUAGCCAAAUGCCUCGUCAUCUAAUUAGUGACGCGCACGAAUGGAAUAACGAGAUUCCCACUGUCCCUAUCUACUAUCUAGCGAAACCACAGCCAAGGGAACGGGCUUGGCAAAAACAGCGGGGAAAGAAGACCCUGUUGAGUUUGACUCUAGUUAGGCUCUGUGAAGAGUCAUGAGAGGUGUAGCAUAAGUGGGAGACGGCAACGUCGACAAUGAAAUACCACUACUUUUAUAGAUUCCUUACUUAUUUGGUUAGGCGGGAGCGAGACUGCGUUUCGGCGUAUGCCUCUAGCUUCUAGAGAAAAGUGUGCACUUUUAGUGCGCACGACCCGUGCCAAAGACAGUGUCUGGCGGGGAGUUUGACUGGGGCGGUACAUCUAUCAAACGAUAACGUAGGUGUCCUAAGGCGAGCUCAGUGAGGACAGAAACCUCACGUAGAGCAAAAGGGCAAAAGCUCGCUUGAUCUUGACUUUCAGCACGAGUACAGACCACGAAAGUGUGGCCUAUCGAUCCUUUUGAUUUUUUGAGGGCUUCAAGCAAGAGGUGUCAGAAAAAUUACCACAGGGAUAACUGGCUUGUGGCAGCCAAGCGUCCAUAGCGA
rnacentral:rRNA from 1 species